GCCAAGUCGUGAGGCGGAGCUAAUCCCUUAAAGCCAUUCUCAGUUCGGAUUGUAGGCUGAAACUCGCCUACAUGAAGCUGGAGUUACUAGUAAUCGCAGAUCAGAAUGCUGCGGUGAAUGCGUUCCCGGGUCUUGUACACACCGCCCGUCACACCACGGAAGUUGGGGGCGCCCGAAGCCACUUAGCUAACCCUUUUGGGAAGCGAGUGUCGAAGGUGAAAUCAAUAACUGGGGUGAAGUCGUAACAAGGUAAC
rnacentral:rRNA from 1 species